AUCCAGCCGAAGAGUAUCAAAUAGGACGAAACGCGUGUCCUGGAU
rnacentral:hammerhead_ribozyme from 1 species